GGUUCAAUGGUCUAGUGGUUAUGAUUUCUGUCUUACACACAGAAGGUCCUGAGUUCGAUCCUCAGUUGAACCA
rfam:Coniophora puteana RWD-64-598 SS2 unplaced genomic scaffold CONPTscaffold_20, whole genome shotgun sequence.